UGUAAGCGUAUACCAAAGUUGUUGCAGUUAAAACGCUCGUAGUCGGAAUUUGGCAGUUCCGGAUGUGUGCACGUCGUGUGCGCACUUCCCGGGGAUUGCUUUUGUGGUCUUGCGUAGGAUGAGGCACUUUUAUUAGUGAACGUCCUCACGCAACCACUUUUUACUGUGAGAAAAUCAGAGUGCUCAAAGCAGGCAUUUGCCGUGAAUGUAUUAGCAUGGAAUAAUAGAAUAGGACUUGGUUCUAUUUUGUUGGUUUGUUGGGACUGAGUAAUGAUUAAGAGGGACAGUUGGGGGCAUUUGUAUUUCGGUGCUAGAGGUGAAAUUCUUAGAUUACCGAAAGACAAACUGCUGCGAAAGCGUCUGCCAAGGAUGUUUUCAUUGA
rnacentral:rRNA from 1 species